UACUAUUUUGGCAGAUGAGUGCAUUGGAUUUAGAAUUCAAAUAUGUAAAGUGUAAUUACAAAUAGUAU
rnacentral:tRNA from 1 species